rnacentral:rRNA from 1 species
CAGCAGUAGCCGCGGUAAUACGAAGGGUGCAAGCGUUAAUCGGAGUUACUGGGCGUAAAGCGUGCGUAGGCGGUUUGUUAAGUCUGUUGUGAAAUCCCCGGGCUCAACCUGGGAAUGGCAAUGGAUACUGGCAAGCUAGAGUGUGUCAGAGGAUGGUGGAAUUCCCGGUGUAGCGGUGAAAUGCGUAGAGAUCGGGAGGAACAUCAGUGGCGAAGGCGGCCAUCUGGGACAACACUGACGCUGAGGCACGAAAGCGUGGGGAGCAAACAGGAUUAGAUACCCCUGUAGUCCCUGUCUCUUAUAC